UACGUAGGGUGCAAGCGUUUAAUCGGAAUACUGGGCGUAAAGCGUGCGCAGGCGGCUUUGCAAGACAGAUGUGAAAUCCCCGGGCUUAACCUGGGAACUGCAUUUGUGACUGCAUGGCUGGAGUGCGGCAGAGGGGGGAUGGAAUUCCGCGUGUAGCAGUGAAAAUGCGUAGAUAUGCGGAGGACACCGAUGGCGAAGGCAGU
rnacentral:rRNA from 1 species